rnacentral:rRNA from 1 species
GAUGAACGCUAGCGGCAGGCUUAAUACAUGCAAGUCGAGGGGCAGCACGUUUCGCAGCAAUGCGGGAUGGUGGCGACCGGCAAACGGGUGAGGACCGCGUACACAAUCUUCCCAGAGCAGGGGGAUAACUAGGGGAAACCCGGACUAAUACCCCGUAGUAUACUUUGAUGGCAUCAUUGAGGUAAUAAAACUCCGGUGGCUUUGGUUGAGUGUGAGUGCCAUUAGGUAGUUGGCAGGGUAACGGCGUACCAAGCCUUCGAAGGGUAACUGGUGUGAGAGCACGACCGGUGACACGAGCAGUGAGACACGGGCCCGACGCCUGAGAGAGGCAGCAGUAAGGAAUAUGAGGCAAUGGACGCAAGUCUGAGCCAGCCAGGCCGCGUGAGAGAUGAAGGUCCUCUGGAGGGUAAGCAUCUUUUAUGGGGGGCGAAAAAAGGGUGGUUUGACGCACUUGACGGUACCUGAUGAAUAAGCACCGGCUAACUCCGUG